rnacentral:rRNA from 1 species
GACGAACCGAGCGAACGUUGUUCGGAAUCACUGGGCUUAAAGGGCGCGUAGGCGGGCUGUCAAGUCUGGGGUGAAAUCCCGCGGCUCAACCGUGGAACUGCCUCAGAUACUGACGGUCUCGAGGGGGAUAGGGGCGAGCGGAACUGUGAGUGGAGCGGUGAAAUGCGUUGAUAUUCACAGGAACUCCGGUGGCGAAGGCGGCUCGCUGGAUCUCUUCUGACGCUGAGGCGCGAAAGCUAGGGGAGCGAACGGG